GCCCCCACCAAUAAUGAUAUAGUCAUAUGCCUCGUGCUGAAACGUGGGAAACCUGCUUGCCUUUAGGAAGGGAGGGAGAUUCAGUUUGGUUAAAUGAUCUCUUCCUGCAAAUUCAAGUGACCCAGGUCCCCUGGUUAUUACUCAUUCAUUCUACAGGUUACAAAUGCCAAAAAGAUAAGCCUAAGGAAAAGCUAUGGUCAAAAUACUUUACUGUAGAUAGACAGCAUGAGUUCAAAUGAUCAUUCAUUGUGCACUUAAUAUUCUGUCUGCAAUGCCAGCUUGCAAGAAUGUUGAAGGCUUGAAGCGAGCACAGCAACAACUCUUCUUCCACCACCCGCCAAUUCAGCAGGCGUUGGGUGGCCGGCCGUCCAUCCUCCUUUCUCGUCUAGGAGAAAGCAAUUCUGUUAGGAUUAGGAAGUGAUCUCCCUGUGAUUGUGAAGUGCACUCUGCACUGGGGCUGAUGGUUGCAGUUUAACACCCUCCACAACCAUAAAAUACACAUGUUAAUGUGAUGCUGAUAUUAGUAAUAGCACUGGGCAAGACAAUCAUGAGGAGACAAAUCAUGAAAGUAUUGGCGUAGUGAUCUGUUUUUUUUUUUUUUGGCUAAUUGCAGUGACCUGUAAAAGACUCCGGGCUACGCUUAAUUUGUGUGAUCUGGCCCUGUUGGUUAUCCAUUUAUGGCAGCAACCUCUUCUUGCAGCAAAUCAUUCAAUUUCAUGCCGUGCAGUUGAGCUUCUUAUUGGUGAGUAUGUGGCCGGGGAGGCCAUUCAUGUGCCCUGAGGGUCAAGCGGAUGCCUCUGUAGCUCCCUCUGUACUUCCCUUGGAAGUUUUGGUGUGCCAGAACUGGGAUCAUGGUCUGAUGAGUUACCAUUACCACUGCACCUGCGAAAAUAAAAAGUAUCGGAUGCCAGAUUUUGCAUCGGAUUCAGAGAAGCUUGUUUUUCCGUGGACAUCACGUAUGCCAUGGAUGGACCACUGCAUUCAUUGCUCUAUAUGCUGCAAUCCAUGGA